GCCGUCGUAGCUCAACGGUAGAGCAGCUGAUUUGUAAUCAGCAGGUUGCGGGUUCGAUUCCCAUCGACGGCUCCA
rnacentral:tRNA from 1 species